rnacentral:pre_miRNA from 1 species
AGUGGAACUGCUUGGUUAUAUGGUCACUUUAUGGUUAACUUUUUGAGUACUCCAAACUAUUCCUAAAGUAGCCAUACCAUUUUACAUUUCUACCAACAAU